AUGAACGCUAGCGACAGGCUUAACACAUGCAAGUCGAGGGUAACAGGGUAGCAAUACCGCUGACGACCGGCGCACGGGUGAGUAACGCGUAUGCAACCUGCCUAUAACUGGGGAAUAGCUCCCUGAAAGGGGAAUUAACACCGCAUAACACUAUUGAUUCGCAUGGAUUGGUAGUUAAAUGUAGCGAUACAGGUUAUAGAUGGGCAUGCGUGACAUUAGCUAGUUGGUGAGGUAACGGCUCACCAAGGCUACGAUGUCUAGGGGUUCUGAGAGGAAGGUCCCCCCACACUGGUACUGAGACACGGACCAGACUCCUACGGGAGGCAGCAGUGAGGAAUAUUGGUCAAUGGGCGCAAGCCUGAACCAGCCAUGUCGCGUGCAGGAAGAACCUGCCCUAUGGGUUGUAAACUGCUUUUAUAGUAGAAGAAACACAUCUACGUGUAGAUGUCUGCCAGUAUACUAUGAAUAAGCAUCGGCUAACUCCGUGCCAGCCGCCGC
rnacentral:rRNA from 1 species